UUACGGCCAUAUCACGUUGAAACAUCGGUUCCCGUACGAUCACCGAAGUUAAGCAACGUCGUGUCUGGACAAUACCUAGAUGGGUGAACGCUUGGGAAUACUGGUGU
rnacentral:rRNA from 1 species